UACGGGGGGUGCGAGCGUUGUCCGGAAUCACUGGGCGUAAAGGGCGCGUAGGUGGUUUGAUAAGGGUGUGGUGAAAGUCCGGGGCUCAACCCCGGAUCUGCCGUGCCGACUGUCAAACUCGAGGACUGUAGAGGCAGACGGAAUUCCGGGUGUAGCGGUGGAAUGCGUAGAGAUCCGGAGGAAGACCGGUGGCGAAGGCGGUCUGCUGGGCAGUUACUGACACUGAGGCGCGACAGCGUGUGGAGCAAACAGG
rnacentral:rRNA from 1 species